UGAGGAAUAUUGGUCAAUGGCCGAGAGGCUGAACCAGCCAAGUCGCGUGAAGGAUGAAGGAUCUAUGGUUUGUAAACUUCUUUUAUACGGGAAUAAAGUGAGUCACGAGUGGCUUUUUGUAUGUACCGUAUGAAUAAGCAUCGGCUAACUCCGUGCCAGCAGCCGCGGUAAUACGGAGGAUGCGAGCGUUAUCCGGAUUUAUUGGGUUUAAAGGGUGCGUAGGUGGUCUUUUAAGUCAGCGGUGAAAGUUUGUGGCUCAACCAUAAAAUUGCCAUUGAAACUGGGAGACUUGAGUAUGUUUGAGGUAGGCGGAAUGCGUGGUGUAGCGGUGAAAUGCAUAGAUAUCACGCAGAACUCCGAUUGCGAAGGCAGCUUGCCAAGCCAUAACUGACACUGAAGCACGAAAGCGUGGGUAUCAAACAGG
rnacentral:rRNA from 1 species